UACGUAGGGUGCAAGCGUUGUCCGGAAUUAUUGGGCGUAAAGAGCUCGUAGGCGGUUUGUUGCGUCGGCUGUGAAAUCCCGAGGCUCAACCUCGGGUCUGCAGUCGAUACGAGCAAACUAGAGUGUUGCAGGGGAGACUGGAAUUCCUGGUGUAGCGGUGAAAUGCGCAGAUAUCAGGAGGAACACCGGUGGCGAAGGCGGCGACCUGGUCCUAUACUGACACUCAUACACGAAAGCGUGGGGAUCAAACAGG
rnacentral:rRNA from 1 species